UCCGUAGGUGAACCUGCGGAAGGAUCAUUGUCGAAGCCUAGAAAGCACGACCGCGAACAAUUUGUUAAUCGGGGAGUCUUUGGGGAGCCCUCGGGCGCCCCUUCGCAUCCCCGCCCGGACGGCGAGGUGCCCCGCGCGCCUCGUCGCUCGGGCCUAACGAACCCCGGCGCGGAUUGCGCCAAGGAAUCUAAAACGAAAGAACUUGCCUCUGCGGCCCGUAUUCGGGUUGCCAGGGGCAUAGAUCUGUUCAAUACACUAAACGACUCUCGGCAACGGAUAUCUUGGCUCUCGCAUCGAUGAAGAACGUAGCGAAAUGCGAUACUUGGUGUGAAUUGCAGAAUCCCGUGAACCAUCGAGUCUUUGAACGCAAGUUGCGCCCGAAGCCAUUAGGCCGAGGGCACGUCUGCCUGGGCGUCACGUAUUGUGUUGCCCCCCAUACCUUCGUAUGGGGAGCGGAACUUGGCCUCCCGUGAGUCCCAGCUCGCGGAUGGCUUAAAAAGGAGCCUCGAGACGGUCGGACGUCGCGACAAGUGGUGGUUACAGGGCUUCGAGCCCUUGAGCUUUGCGUGCCGCGCGCCUUCCGCCCCUCCCUGCUCGAAUAUAACCCUUGCUGAGCGUCCCCGACGUUGCCAGCAUUGCGACCCCAGGUCAGGCGGGACUACCCGCUGAAUUAA
rnacentral:rRNA from 1 species